GACGAACGCUGGCGGCGUGCUCAACACAUGCAAGUCGAACGGAAAGGCCCUGCUUUUGCGGGGUGCUCGAGUGGCGAACGGGUGAGUAACACGUGAGUAACCUGCCCUUGACUUUGGGAUAACUUCAGGAAACUGGGGCUAAUACCGGAUAGGAGCUCCUGCUGCAUGGUGGGGGUUGGAAAGUUUCGGCGGUUGGGGAUGGACUCGCGGCUUAUCAGCUUGUUGGUGGGGUAGUGGCUUACCAGGGCUUUGACGGGUAGCCGGCCUGAGAGGGUGACCGGCCACAUUGGGACUGAGAUACGGCCCAGACUCCUACGGGAGGCAGCAGUGGGGAAUAUUGCACAAUGGGCGGAAGCCUGAUGCAGCAACGCCGCGUGCGGGAUGACGGCCUUCGGGUUGUAAACCGCUUUCGCCUGUGACGAAGCGUGAGUGACGGUAAUGGGUAAAGAAGCACCGGCUAACUACGUGCCAGCAGCCGCGGUGAUACGUAGGGUGCGAGCGUUGUCCGGAUUUAUUGGGCGUAAAGGGCUCGUAGGUGGUUGAUCGCGUCGGAAGUGUAAUCUUGGGGCUUAACCCUGAGCGUGCUUUCGAUACGGGUUGACUUGAGGAAGGUAGGGGAGAAUGGAAUUCCUGGUGGAGCGGUGGAAUGCGCAGAUAUCAGGAGGAACACCAGUGGCGAAGGCGGUUCUCUGGGCCUUUCCUGACGCUGAGGAGCGAAAGCGUGGGGAGCGAACAGGCUUAGAUACCCUGGUAGUCCACGCUGUAAACGGUGGGUACUAGGUGUGGGGUCCAUUCCACGGGUUCCGUGCCGUAGCUAACGCUUUAAGUACCCCGCCUGGGGAGUACGGCCGCAAGGCUAAAACUCAAAGGAAUUGACGGGGCCCCGCACAAGCGGCGGAGCAUGCGGAUUAAUUCGAUGCAACGCGUAGAACCUUACCUGGGUUUGACAUGGAUCGGGAGUGCUCAGAGAUGGGUGUGCCUCUUUUGGGGUCGGUUCACAGGUGGUGCAUGGCUGUCGUCAGCUCGUGUCGUGAGAUGUUGGGUUAAGUCCCGCAACGAGCGCAACCCUUGUUCACUGUUGCCAGCACGUUAUGGUGGGGACUCAGUGGAGACCGCCGGGGUCAACUCGGAGGAAGGUGGGGAUGACGUCAAGUCAUCAUGCCCCUUAUGUCCAGGGCUUCACGCAUGCUACAAUGGCUGGUACAGAGAGUGGCGAGCCUGUGAGGGUGAGCGAAUCUCGGAAAGCCGGUCUCAGUUCGGAUUGGGGUCUGCAACUCGACCUCAUGAAGUCGGAGUCGCUAGUAAUCGCAGAUCAGCAACGCUGCGGUGAAUACGUUCCCGGG
rnacentral:rRNA from 1 species